rnacentral:snRNA from 1 species
GUGCUUGCUUAAGCAGCACAUAUACUAAAAUUGGAAUGAUACAAAGAAGAUUAGCAUGGCCCCUGUGCAAGGAUGACAUUCAAAUUUGUGAAGCAGUCCAUAUUUUC